rnacentral:rRNA from 1 species
UACGGAGGGGGCUAGCGUUGUUCGGAAUUACUGGGCGUAAAGCGUACGUAGGCGGCCAUUCAAGUCAGAGGUGAAAGCCCGGGGCUCAACUCCGGAACUGCCUUUGAAACUAGGUGGCUUGAACACGGGAGAGGUGAGUGGAAUUCCGAGUGUAGAGGUGAAAUUCGUAGAUAUUCGGAAGAACACCAGUGGCGAAGGCGGCUCACUGGACCGUUGUUGACGCUGAGGUACGAAAGCGUGGGGAGCAAACAGG